GGUGGCUCAGUGGUAGAGUACUUGCCUUGCAUGCAUGAGGCCCUGGGUUUGAUUCCCCAGCACCA
rfam:Dipodomys ordii contig_10108, whole genome shotgun sequence.